rnacentral:rRNA from 1 species
AACGAACGCUGGCGGCAUGCCUAACACAUGCAAGUCGAACGAUAUCUUCGGGUCUAGUGGCGCACGGGUGCGUAACGCGUGGGAAUCUGCCCUUUGGUUCGGAAUAACAGUUGGAAACGACUGCUAAUACCGGAUGAUGACGAAAGUCCAAAGAUUUAUCGCCAGAGGAUGAGCCCGCGUAGGAUUAGCUAGUUGGUGUGGUAAAGGCGCACCAAGGCGACGAUCCUUAGCUGGUCUGAGAGGAUGAUCAGCCACACUGGGACUGAGACACGGCCCAGACUCCUACGGGAGGCAGCAGUGGGGAAUAUUGGACAAUGGGCGAAAGCCUGAUCCAGCAAUGCUGCGUGAGUGAUGAAGGCCUUAGGGUUGUAAAGCUCUUUUACCCGGGAUGAUAAUGACAGUACCGGGAGAAUAAGCUCCGGCUAACUCCGUGCCAGCCGCCGCGGUAA